GACGAACGCUGGCGGCGUGCUUAACACAUGCAAGUCGAACGGAAAGGCCCUGCUUUUGUGGGGUGCUCGAGUGGCGAACGGGUGAGUAACACGUGAGUAACCUGCCCUUGACUUUGGGAUAACUUCAGGAAACUGGGGCGAAUACCGGAUAGGAGCUCCUGCUGCAUGGGGGGGGUUGGAAAGUUUCGGCGUUUGGGGAUGGACUCGCGGCUUAUCAGCUGGUUGGUGGGGUAGUGGCUGACCAAGGCUUUGACGGGUAGCCGGCCUGAGAGGGUGACCGGCCACAUUGGGCCUGCGAUACGGCCCAGACUCCUACGGGCGGCAGCAGUGGGGAGUAUUGCACAAUGGGCGGACGCCUGAUGCAGCAACGCCGCGUGCGGGAUGACGGCUUUCGGGUUAUAAACCGCUUUCGCCUGUGACGAAGCGUGAGUGACGGUACUGGGUCAAGAAGCACCGGCUAACUACGUG
rnacentral:rRNA from 1 species